CGUAAGCUACUAUUUAUAUAGCGAAUUGGUGAUGGCGUCUUUUUACAGGCACUAACUCCGCCAUUCGUUGGACAAAGCCUAUGGGGGAAAUUAAUGGCGUUUUUGUAGGGUAUUUGGAUAAACAACGACAAUAAGAUAUCGCUUUCCUACCCCCUGCUCUGGGUUUGGUGAAUGGACCAACCAGACCCUCAAGACUACCUUGGGCAAGUCCCGUGAUUGGUACCAGGAAGGAUGGGAGAACAACCUGAAGGUAAGUCUCUUUGCACACAACAGCAGCAUCCAGGCCUCCACCGAGGACAGACGAGAGCCGCAGCUGUUGACUGAGGUAAACAAUGCAAUUGUUAUUGCAUAUACUGUAGUCUUUCAAUUUUUUGUAUAACGUACUUUCUGAUCACUGAAACCCCACCUGAUGUGUUCGAACCAGAUCAGAACGCCUUGGAGGACCACCUUCCUAGGAAAUAUAAUUGUAUUUAUUCCUGUUCUCAAUCAAGAGAGCAGCAGUGCCUGGACUUUGCAGUCCCCCUUCCGAGACUGGCUGCCUGUUGAGAACAAGGGACAGGCAGAACCUCCCUCCCACCCACACAGCAACCACCUCCUCUAUAUUCCACAAACCAGAAUUCAGUAUUUUAUCUAUGAUUGCCAUGUGAGUGUACAGAAAAUCAGUGGAAAAAAAUUCAUGACACAACUGUACCAAAAACGAUAAACUUUAAUGUAUGAAAAUAUAUUGACAGGUUGGGUUUCACAAGGUGUUCAUUAUUGGAAGCUGUAAGGUAUCCUUUGAUGGCAUUUAUUUGUUCCAGGUUAUUCAUUGUUGUAUCCUUGGACC